CGUAGAAGACUAGUGUUAUUCAUCUUAGUAGGUUAAGGGUACCUAGACGGUAAUUAAUCUUAAUAAGAUAUGUUACUAGAGUUAUAUGUGAGGAGGGAGUAUUAUGGCGUAGAGUUGAAUUCGUUGAUCCCAUAACGACUGGUAACGGCGAAAGCAACCUUUAUGUAAUAACUGACGUUGAGGGACGAAGGCUCGGGUCACGAACAGGAUU
rnacentral:rRNA from 1 species